UACGGGGGGGGCAAGCGUUGCUCGGAAUCACUGGGCGUAAAGCGCACGUAGGCGGAUUCUUAAGUCGGGGGUGAAAUCCUGGAGCUCAACUCCAGAACUGCCUUCGAUACUGGCGAGCUCGAGUUCGGGAGAGGUGAGUGGAACUGCGAGUGUAGAGGUGAAAUUCGUAGAUAUUCGGAAGAACACCAGUGGCGAAGGCGACACACUGGCCCGUUACUGACGCUGAGGCUCGAAAGCGUGGGGAGCAAACAGG
rnacentral:rRNA from 1 species